rnacentral:miRNA from 1 species
UGUGUGUGUGUGUGUGUGUGUGUGCGCGCGUGUGUGUGUGCACGCGCGCGCGCACACACACACACACAGG